UCCGAGAGUGUGUGGUGAAUCUGCUGAUUCCAACUUGUCAGAAGGUGGAGUUUGGUUAUUUGGUUCCUGAGGUAUUCCCUCGUUGUUCAAGGAGGAAGUGGCUUAUUGGUGGUUUGGCCGUGGGCAAUCUCUAUAAGUAUCUUUCAUGGAGUUCUGAAUCUGUUGUUUCAUGUCCGUUUGGAGCCCUCACCAGUGACGUUUGGUUUCAGUCGCGUUUAUCUUUUAUUGCUGUUAUGUGUAUGUGUUUAUUGGCAUCCCUUGUAUGGGCUUAGUUUCCAGGGUCAGUUCUGUGUGACCGCUGGCUUGUGUACCGAACGUAAUCCUCUUCGGUUUAAGAAUGCUAUCUUGUAAUCCUUUAUGUUUCUUCUUAAUAAAAUCAGGCGACAAAAAAAAAA
rnacentral:lncRNA from 1 species